UUCUGUCUUUAUGAAGAAAUUUUGUCUACUUAAGCAGAGGAAUGAAGAUGUAGUCCAUUCAUUUGCCCCUGCUUCCUUUAUAUGAUGGGAAGACAGAACGAGAAGACAUGGGGACAGAACAUUGUGACUUGAACUGGACUUCAGUUAGAGAGUUUGACAUAACUACAUCAGAUUCAUCAUAAAUAUUUCAUGUGUGAAAAUAUGAAGAAAGUCUUUAAGUAAGCUGAAACCAGAAAAUGGUAAUGAAUGACACUCAGAAAGAAUAAAUUGUGAUCCUAGAAAGCA